rnacentral:misc_RNA from 1 species
ACCAAAAACAUUUUUCAAUAAAGUAUAAAAGUACACCUAUAUCAUCCUAUGUGCAUUCGUAGACACUAGACAAAGCACCUUAUGCUGAACAUUCCAAUGUUCAUAACCUACACCGAUAAGCACACUUUAUCUGUUCAAUUUUUUUUUUUCCAACCAUCACAUACAAAUCCAACUCAAUGUAACAAUGACCAACUUUCCUGCCUCUCUACGAGUUGCAUUAACAUUCAUUAGAACCAAACUGAACAAAUGACUUAGCCAAGAGAAAUGUAAGAAACUUCAAAAUCCUAACUUCCCGUAAACAAACACAAUAAACCCAAAACGUUCCUUUGUUUCUACUCCUUCAGUUUCUCACUAACCAAACACCACAUUCAUCAUUCAAUGACCGAAACAAACAGAAGAGUUGUAAGAUAGUUAAGCUUAAAACCCUAAUUUUCAUUGAACAAACACCAUAAGCACAAAAUUUUGCAUUAAACACCACUUUCAUCAUUCAAUCA